rnacentral:rRNA from 1 species
GACGAACGCUGGCGGCGUGCUUAACACAUGCAAGUCGAACGGAAAGGCCCUGCUUUUGUGGGGUGCUCGAGUGGCGAACGGGUGAGUAACACGUGAGUAACCUGCCCUUGACUUUGGGAUAACUUCAGGAAACUGGGGCUAAUACCGGAUAGGAGCUCCUGCUGCAUGGUGGGGGUGGGAAAGUUUCGGCGGUUGGGGAUGGACUCGCGGCGUAUCAGCUUGUUGGUGGGGUAGUGGCUUACCAAGGCUUUGACGGGUAGCCGGCCUGAGAGGGUGACCGGCCACAUUGGGACUGAGAUACGGCCCAGACUCCUACGGGAGGCAGCAGUGGGGAAUAUUGCACAAUGGGCGGAAGCCUGAUGCAGCAACGCCGCGUGCGGGAUGACGGCCUUCGGGUUGUAAACCGCUUUCGCCUGUGACGAAGCGUGAGUGACGGUAAUGGGUAAAGAAGCACCGGCUAACUACGUG